UUUUUUUUUUUUUUUUUUUUUUUUUAUGGCCACAUCUAGAACAUAUGGAAGUUCCCAGGCCAGGGGUCAAAUCAGAGCUGCAGCUGUGGGCGACACCACAGCCACAGCAAAACUGGAUCCAAGCCACACCUGUGACCUACACUGCAGCUUGCAGCAAAGCCAGAUCCUUAACCCACUGAGCAAGGCCAGGGAUUGAACCCACAUCCUCACAGAGACUAUAUUGGGUCCUUAACCCACUGAGCCACAACAGGAACUCUCCCCCUUCUUUUAAGGACUAGUACAUCUCCUCAAUUACCUUUAUAUUUUUAACCUUUUUCUCUUCCUAUGAGCUUAAAUUCUUCUAAAAUUAUUGAUUACCUUAGUUGGUAGCCCUUAUUUGGGAUUAUAAAUGAAAGCUUAGACCUAGCAUGUGUUCUUUUCCGGCUAUCUUUAGGAGGUAUGGAAUUGACAUAGGGAGAAGAGCCUCUGUUACUGCAAAUCUGGAAGCCUUUUCCACCCCAAAAUCCAAUCCUACCAUUCACUGAACUCCCAUUUCUUUUGCCCAAGAGUCUGGAGUCUGCUUCUCUCUGUUGGAAUUUUCUCAUCCAUUAAGCAAGGAGAGGGUACCAGCCUCCUCAGUUGAGAUGGUAACUCUCAGUGACCACAUAACCAUCCCCCAACCCCCACAAUAGUACUCUCAUGUUAACUGGCUCAUCCACUGGUGCUGGCUGCUUUGUCUCCUCAUGUACAGAGAAAACGAUGAUUCAUCCAGGGCACUGUAGGAUGAAGAGAGGAGGACAAUUAGAAAGCUCUUUCUCACAGCACAGCAGCCACUGGUUAGGGGCGUCUGGUUCUCUUCAGCGUUGGGACUGCUGUUUACCUCCCAGGAAAUGACCCUAACACCUUUGUUACCACUAGAGCUGUACUGCUUCUGUUAUCAAUCAUCUUCCCUGUUGCCUGUGUAGCAUUUCCAGGUUGAGCUUAGGGAAAGGAGCCAGUCCCCCGUGCUAUUUUGCUGUCAUGUCCAGACAUCUUAGUUUGUUGGUCAAAGUUUAUACUCUGACCUGAUUCAGACAUGGCCAUAGCCCAAGUCAACAAAGAACAAGUGAUGCCUUAAUGUGAAAAGAUUCCAGGAACUAAAUGACUCUACAACUUGGAAGGAAAAAUUAUACAUCCCAUUUCCAAUGAAAACUGGCCCAGGGAAAAACUUCGUUUGGGGAAAAAAAAAAAAAGCCUGAAAUGGCUUAUCCAUUCCUAUCUUCCAUUAUUCCAGAGUUUGAAAACAAAACUAUUUAUAAUUUUUCUCAAAAUAUAAAUAUAGAAUACUGUUACAACUUCUCAAAAAAAAAAAAAAAAUCUAGGAGUUCCCAUUGUGGCUCAGUGGUUAACGAACCCAACUAGGAUCCAUGAUGACGCGGGUUCGAUACCUCACCUGACUCAGUGGGUUAAAGAUCCAGCGUUGCCGGGAGCUAUGGUGUAGUUCGCAGAUGCGGCUGGGAUCCUGCCUUGCUGUGGGUGUGGUAUAGACAGGCACCUAUAGCUCCAAACCGACCCCUAGCCUGGGAACCUCCACAUGCCACGGAUGAGGCCCUAAAUAGACAAAAGACAAAAAAAAAGAAAGAAAGAAAAAAAAAUUCUAUACUCUUACCAUCAAAAUGGUAGAAAUAAAUUGUUGGCAAUCAAAGAUAUAACUAAGCAUAAUCACUACUUUAUCAGAAAAGUUGUAUACUUUUAUUAAUCACUUUCAACUGCUUUUUAUGUGUCAGGUAUUUCCAAGUAUAUUGUCUUACCUAUUUUUGUCAGUCCCCUUGAGAAGCAUCCUUAGAGAUAAAGUUGAAAAGAAGUUGUGACAUGUCCAGGGUCACCCAAGUAGUAAAUACUAGAGCUGAGGUUGAAAACCAGGUAGAAAUUCUUUCUUAACUGCCUAACUGGCAAUUAUGUUUAAACAGUAUUAUGGAUGCACAUCAUAAGAUAAAGGCAAUUACUCUGGAAACAUUUACAUCUGUCAAAAAGCUGUCUCAGAUGUACACCUGGAAGCCAUGUACUUUGACUUAAUGUUUGAUUCAUUUUUUUCCCUUAAAGCUUUUUUUUUUUUUUUAAUCUACUUAUUAUUUCAAAAACACACUGCUACCUUUCUGGGGGUAAAUGUGGUAGUUUCAGGAUGAAGUCACACACAUGGAGCACCUGGGCUCUGUGGCUUCCUCCAUGUGGGCAAUGUUUAAGGAGUUUUCAUUUAAGCAAUAAGAGUCUUUUCUAGAAUAAAGGGAUUAGAACGGGAUCUAGGAUAAACUGAGAGAAUAGCUUUUCAAUGAUUUAUUCAAGCAAAAUUUAACUGAGUGUAGAAUGUAUAUGUAUUUUUCUCUUUUACCAGUUUCCAAAUAUUAAUACUAGAUUCUUCUCAGUCUAUCCAAGUUACAGUCAGGUAAUAAAUGAAUUACCGAGUAGAGCCAACUAUAAGUCUUAUAAUAACACUUAAUGAAUCAAAUUAGAAAAAAAAUAUACAGUUACCUGCUUCAUACCUGCCCAGAUAUUUAGGUCAGAGAUUUUUUUUUUCACCUAAAGAAACUGUACCUUAAAAAGAUGGAAUCACUUUCUACUUCAGAUCUUACAGAACCAGUUACUUUAGAGGAUGCCAUUUUAAUCACUUUAUUAUGAACAAGAAAAUAUAAUUUAUGGCAGAAAAAAAACUACUGUAGUGACCUCUACCACUGCUAGUUUGGGGUGCCUGAGGAACUCACCUUCAGAACAUGUAAAAAAAAAUUAUUUUGAACAUAUAUAAUCUUUAUUCUCAUAGAUAUAUGACCAAUUAGAAAUAAACAUUAUAAAUAUACAUAUUUUAAAGAUGAAUGAAAAUAGGUACAUAUGUGUAGGAUAAAAUUUCUAAUGACAAAGUCAUAUAUAAUUCAAAAAUACUACUUCUCAAAAAUAUGUGGAAUAUGGCAUGGAAAAUAUGACAAGACAAAGCUCAAAAAGUUGCUCUAGUGAUGAAGAUCCAUUAUGUAAAGAUACAUGUGACAAGUUGAGCAAAAUUGUUUUACACGAGUUAGAGGAAAGAAUUCGGCUCAAUUAUUAUAUUAUGUAAUAACGGUACUUUAAAUGUGUAGCUAAAACUAAAUUUAUUAAAUGUUCUUAGUCAGAUAGCUGAUUAUUUUACUCAUACUCCCAAAUGGUCAUAUGUUCAAGAUGGGGGGGAAAAAUUCCAGAUUCUUCUCACUAACUAUGCUUUCUAUUCAAAAGCAACUAAUAUUUAGGCGUCUGCACUAAAUCUCCAAAUCUCUGCCAUAUACCAAGUACAGAGGUUAGCCCAGCAAAACGAGCCAGCAAACCUUCUGCCCUAGAAGAAGCAGUCAAACGAUCGUGAAGUGUAAACACAGCCAGGUGUAGGGCAUUUCUGCAGGUAUCACAUACAAUGGUUUGUUUGAUUCACUUUCCUGAGCAAAUGUAUUUGUGAUAUUAACAUCGAAGCUAUCAAUAAAAAUAUUGAGUUAAAUUUAAAUAAACUAAAGGAGAAUAAAUAUUCAGCAAUGGCCAACCAAAACACAUUCUUGAUUCUCAAUGAGUACAUAACUUCCUCAGAGCAAAAAAGAAAAAAAAAUACCAUUAGAAAAGAAGAUUUUUUUCCCCUUAUGUUACUCAAAAUAAACGAAUCUGGGUUAGAGAGCUGGGUAGGAAAUCUCCCCGCCACCUCAAAGUUAGCGAUGGCCAGAACUAAUAUGAAAUUCACAAGUAGGACCUGCAGCAUGCCUCAAAAAGAAGAUUGAUGAUCAGGGCUAUACGAAGAACCUUGGUGACAAAAACAUAAAAGCUGCCUACUAAUACAUAAUGGCCAAUGUAAGAAAGCCUAAAAUCAGCCUUACAAAAUCAGGUCUGCCAUCACAAUUUCAUCCAAUUCCAUUCAACCUUUCCAAGAUUUUCUCUGCAAAAAUCAGAUCUUAAUCUAGACCAAAGAGUCUCAAAAUUAACACUAUUAACACUUGGGACCCAGUAAUUCCUACUUGGAGAGGGGGCUGUCCUGGACACUGUAGUAUAUUUGGCUACAUAACUAGCCUCUAUCUCCCUAGUAGAUGCCACUAGCAUUCCCUCCCUACUUGUGACAACCCAAAUCAUCUCCAGAUAAUGCCAGAUGGUCCCCUGCAAGGAAAUCUCCCCCAGUUGAGAACAGCUGACCUAGACAUUGUAUGUUCAACAUUAGAAUGUCAUAAUGGGAGUUCCUGAAGAUUCGGAGGUUAACUAAUCUGACUAGCAUCCAUGAGGACGAAUGUUUGAUUCCUGGCCAUGCUCAGUGGGUUAAGGAUCCGGUGUUGCCAUGAGCUGUGGUGUAGGUCAGAGACACAGCUCGGAUCCUGCAUUGCUGUGGCUGUGUAGUAAGCCUGAAGCUACAGCUCUGUGUCGACCCCUAGCCUGGGACUCUCCGUAUGCUGUGGGUGUGGCCCUAAAAAGCCAAAAUAAAUAAAUAAAUAAAUAAAUAAAUAAAUAAAUAAAUAAAUAAAAUAGAAUGUCAUAAUGGUUGCUACUAUAUUUUUCUGGCUAAUUAAUUCAGAAUAAGAAUACACAUGGGAUGAGGUGGGAAAGGUUGGCAUUAAUAAGAUUAGGGGCAAAAUGAAGAUGGCAGAAGCGACUGUAAUAGACUACUUUCCGUUUUGUUUUGUUUUUGCUUUUUAGGGCUGCACCCACUGCAUAUGGAAAUUCCCAGACUGGAGGUCCAAUUGGAGCUGCAGCUUCAGGCCUGCACCGCAGCCACAGCAACGUGGGAUCCAAGCUGCAUCUGCAACCUACACCACAACUCACGGCAACACCAGAUCCUUAACCCACUGAGCAAGGCCAGGGAUCGAACCUGCGUCCUCAUGGAUACUAGUAGAAUUCGUUACCACUGAGCCACAACAAGAACCCCCGAAGCUUUCAGUUUUGCUUUCUCCUCAGGGGUCUUAGGAAGCCUUCUGCAGAAGGACAAUGUGCAUCCGCUUUAGUUCUAAACAACAAAUUAGUUCGCCCUCUGUUUUCUAUACACCUGGUCCCUGCAUCUGGCCUCAUGAUGUUUCUGGAUGGCUGCAUUCUACCCAUGACCCAGGAGUGCUGGAAUCAAUUGCAGAAGCAGGGUUGGAACUGCCCUUCAGUCCAUCUGUUCCAUUAACCACAAACCCCUGUUCCCUCCC
rnacentral:lncRNA from 1 species